GUUUGAUCCUGGCUCAGGAUGAACGCUAGCUACAGGCUUAACACAUGCAAGUCGAGGGGCAUCAGUUUGGUUUGCUUGCAAACCAAAGCUGGCGACCGGCGCACGGGUGAGUAACACGUAUCCAACCUACCUCAUACUCGGGGAUAGCCUUUCGAAAGAAAGAUUAAUAUCCGAUGGCAUAUAUUUCCCGCAUGGGUUUUAUAUUAAAGAAAUUCGGUAUGAGAUGGGGAUGCGUUCCAUUAGUUUGUUGGGGGGGUAACGGCCCACCAAGACUACGAUGGAUAGGGGUUCUGAGAGGAAGGUCCCCCACAUUGGAACUGAGACACGGUCCAAACUCCUACGGGAGGCAGCAGUGAGGAAUAUUGGUCAAUGGACGCGAGUCUGAACCAGCCAAGUAGCGUGAAGGAUGACUGCCCUAUGGGUUGUAAACUUCUUUUAUAUGGGAAUAAAGUGGUCCACGUGUGGACUUUUGUAUGUACCAUAUGAAUAAGGAUCGGCUAACUCCGUGCCAGCAGCCGCGGUAAUACGGAGGAUCCGAGCGUUAUCCGGAUUUAUUGGGUUUAAAGGGAGCGUAGGCGGAUUGUUAAGUCAGUUGUGAAAGUUUGCGGCUCAACCGUAAAAUUGCAGUUGAUACUGGCAGUCUUGAGUGCAGUAGAGGUGGGCGGAAUUCGUGGUGUAGCGGUGAAAUGCUUAGAUAUCACGAAGAACUCCGAUUGCGAAGGCAGCUCACUGGAGUGUAACUGACGCUGAUGCUCGAAAGUGUGGGUAUCAAACAGGAUUAGAUACCCUGGUAGUCCACACAGUAAACGAUGAAUACUCGCUGUUUGCGAUAUACAGUAAGCGGCCAAGCGAAAGCAUUAAGUAUUCCACCUGGGGAGUACGCCGGCAACGGUGAAACUCAAAGGAAUUGACGGGGGCCCGCACAAGCGGAGGAACAUGUGGUUUAAUUCGAUGAUACGCGAGGAACCUUACCCGGGCUUAAAUUGCAAAUGAAUUAUGGGGAAACCCAUACGCCGCAAGGCAUUUGUGAAGGUGCUGCAUGGUUGUCGUCAGCUCGUGCCGUGAGGUGUCGGCUUAAGUGCCAUAACGAGCGCAACCCUUAUCUUCAGUUACUAACAGGUCAUGCUGAGGACUCUGGAGAGACUGCCGUCGUAAGAUGUGAGGAAGGUGGGGAUGACGUCAAAUCAGCACGGCCCUUACGUCCGGGGCUACACACGUGUUACAAUGAGGGGUACAGAAGGCCGCUACCUGGUGACAGGAUGCCAAUCCCAAAAACCUCUCUCAGUUCGGAUCGAAGUCUGCAACCCGACUUCGUGAAGCUGGAUUCGCUAGUAAUCGCGCAUCAGCCAUGGCGCGGUGAAUACGUUCCCGGGCCUUGUACACACCGCCCGUCAAGCCAUGAAAGCCGGGGGUACCUGAAGUACGUAACCGCAAGGAGCGUCCUAGGGUAAAACUGGUAAUUGGGGCUAAGUCGUAACAAGGUAGCCGUACCGGAAGGUGCGGCUG
rnacentral:rRNA from 2 species